CGAGGGGCAGCGGGGGUGAUGGCUUGCCAUCACCUGCCGGCGACCGGCUCACGGGUGAGUAACACGUAUGCAACCUGCCCGCCACAGGGGGAUAAGCGGAAGAAAUUCCGUCUAAUACCGCGUGACGCGGCAUCGGGGCAUCCCGGUGCCGCCAAAGGGAUUACCGGUGGCGGAUGGGCAUGCGGCGCAUUAGCUAGUCGGCGGGGUAACGGCCCACCGAGGCGACGAUGCGUAGGGGUUCUGAGAGGAAGGUCCCCCACACUGGUACUGAGACACGGACCAGACUCCUACGGGAGGCAGCAGUGAGGAAUAUUGGUCAAUGGGCGCGAGCCUGAACCAGCCAAGUCGCGUGAGGGAUGACGGUCCUACGGAUUGUAAACCUCUUUUGCCGGGGAGCAAGCGUGCGUUCGUGAACGCGCGUCGAGAGUACCCGGAGAAAAAGCAUCGGCUAACUCCGUGCCAGCAGCCGCGGUAAUACGGAGGAUGCGAGCGUUAUCCGGAUUUAUUGGGUUUAAAGGGUGCGUAGGCGGGAUGCCAAGUCAGCGGUAAAAAUGCGGUGCUCAACGCCGUCGAGCCGUUGAAACUGGCGUUCUUGAGUGGGCGAGAAGUAUGCGGAAUGCGUGGUGUAGCGGUGAAAUGCAUAGAUAUCACGCAGAACUCCGAUUGCGAAGGCAGCAUACCGGCGCCCUACUGACGCUGAGGCACGAAAGCGUGGGUAUCGAACAGGAUUAGAUACCCUGGUAGUCCACGCAGUAAACGAUGAAUGCUAACUGUCCGGUGCGAAUGAGCGCUGGGCGGUACAGCGAAAGCGUUAAGCAUUCCACCUGGGGAGUACGCCGGCAACGGUGAAACUCAAAGGAAUUGACGGGGGCCCGCACAAGCGGAGGAACAUGUGGUUUAAUU
rnacentral:rRNA from 1 species